UAAGGAAUAUUGGUCAAUGGACGCAAGUCUGAACCAGCCAUGCCGCGUGGAGGAUGAAGGUCCUCUGGAUUGUAAACUUCUUUUAUCUGGGACGAAACACUUCUUUUCUAAGAGGCCUGACGGUACCAGAUGAAUAAGCACCGGCUAACUCCGUUCCAGCAGCCGCGGUAAUACGGAGGGUGCAAGCGUUAUCCGGAUUCACUGGGUUUAAAGGGUGCGUAGGUGGGUAUGUAAGUCAGUGGUGAAAUCCCCGAGCUUAACUUGGGAACUGCCAUUGAUACUAUAUAUCUUGAAUACCGUAGAGGUAAGCGGAAUAUGUCAUGUAGCGGUGAAAUGCUUAGAUAUGACAUGGAACACCAAUUGCGAAGGCAGCUUACUAUGCGGUGAUUGACACUGAGGCACGAAAGCGUGGGUAGCAAACA
rnacentral:rRNA from 1 species